AAGCCAAUGUUUCCACAGGGGAGAUGGUUUUAGGAUGAAAUUUUUCCACCUUAGAUCAUCAGGCAUUAGUUAGAAUCUCGUAAGGAGUGUGCAACUUAAAUCCC